CCUACGGGUUGCAGCAGUGGGGAAUAUUGGACAAUGGGGGGAACCCUGAUCCAGCCAUGCCGCGUGUGUGAAGAAGGCCUUAUGGUUGUAAAGCACUUUAAGCGAGGAGGAGGCUACUGAGACUAAUACUCUUGGAUAGUGGACGUUACUCGCAGAAUAAGCACCGGCUAACUCUGUGCCAGCAGCCGCGGUAAUACAGAGGGUGCGAGCGUUAAUCGGAUUUACUGGGCGUAAAGCGUGCGUAGGCGGCUUUUUAAGUCGGAUGUGAAAUCCCCGAGCUUAACUUGGGAAUUGCAUUCGAUACUGGGAAGCUAGAGUAUGGGAGAGGAUGGUAGAAUUCCAGGUGUAGCGGUGAAAUGCGUAGAGAUCUGGAGGAAUACCGAUGGCGAAGGCAGCCAUCUGGCCUAAUACUGACGCUGAGGUACGAAAGCAUGGGGAGCAAACAGGAUUAGAUACCCUUGUAGUC
rnacentral:rRNA from 1 species